rnacentral:rRNA from 1 species
ACUUUUAACAACGGAUCUCUUGGCUCUAGCAUCGAUGAAGAACGCAGCGAAACGCGAUAUGUAGUGUGAAUUGCAGAAUUCAGUGAAUCAUCGAAUCUUUGAACGCACAUGGCGCCUUCCAGUAUCCUGGGAGGCAUGCCUGUCCGAGCGUCGUUUCAACCCUCGAGCCCCUGUGGCCCGGUGUUGGGGAUCUACUUCCGUAGGCCCUUAAAAGCAGUGGCGGACCCGCGUGGCCCUUCCUUGCGUAGUAAUUUUCGCUCGCAUCGGAGUCCCGCAGGCACCAGCCUCUAAACCCCCUACAAGCCCGCCUCGUGCGGCAACGGUUGACCUCGGAUCAGGUAGGAAUACCCGCUGAACUUAAGCAUAUCAAUAAGCGGAGGAAAAGAAACCAACAGGGAUUGCCUUAGUAACGGCGAGUGAAGCGGCAACAGCUCAAAUUUGAAAUCUGGCUCCUUCGGGGCCCGAGUUGUAAUUUGCAGAGGAUGCUUCGGGUUUGGGUUCCUUCCGAGUUCCCUGGAACGGGACGCCAUAGAGGGUGAGAGCCCCGUCUGGUAGGAAACCCAGCCCAUGUGAAGCUCCCUCGACGAGUCGAGUAGUUUGGGAAUGCUGCUCUAAGGGGAGGUAUACUCCUUCCAAGGCUAAAUACCGGCUAGAGACCGAUAGCGCACAAGUAGAGUGAUCGAAAGAUGAAAAGUACUUUGAAAAGAGAGUCAAACAGCACGUGAAAUUGUUAAAAGGGAAGCGCUCGCUACCAGACGUGGGUUCGGUGGUUCAACCAGGUCCAUGACCUGGGGCACUCCGCCGGCCCAGGCCAGCAUCAGCUUUCCGUCGGGGGCAAAGGCGUCGGGAAUGUGGCUCUCCUUCGGGGGAGUGUUAUAGCCCGUCGCGUCAUACCCUUCGGGGGGCUGAGGUACGCGCUCCGCAAGGAUGCUGGCGUAAUGGUAGCUAGUGACCCGUCUUGAAACACGGACCAAGGAGUCAACCUUAUGUGCGAGUGCCCGGGCGUAAAACCCCAGCGCGGAAUGAAAGUGAACGUAGGUGAGAGCUUCGGCGCAUCACCGACCGAUCCUGAUGUCCUCGGACGGAUUUGAGUGAGAGCAUAUAGGGUUGGACCCGAAAGAAGAUGAACUAUGCGUGUGUAGGGUGAAGCCAGAGGAAACUCUGGUGGAGGCUCGCAGCGGUUCUGACGUGCAAAUCGAUCGUCAAACAUGCGCAUGGGGGCGAAAGACUAAUCGAAUCUUCUGGUAGCUGGUUUCCGCCGAAGUUUCCCUCAGGAUAGCAGUGUUGAUCCCAGUUUUAUGAGGUAAAGCGAAUGAUUAGGGACUCGGGGGCGCUAUUUAGCCUUCAUCCAUUCUCAAACUUUAAAUAUGUAAGAAGUCCCCGUUACUUUAUUGAACGCGGACGCUGGAAUGAAACAACACUAGUGGGCCAUUUUUGGUAAGCAGAACUGGCGAUGCGGGAUGAACCGAACGCGAGGUUAAGGUGCCGGAGUGGACGCUCAUCAGACACCACAAAAGGUGUUAGUACAUCUUGACAGCAGGACGGUGGCCAUGGAAGUCGGAAUCCGCUAAGGACUGUGUAACAACUCACCUGCCGAAUGUACUAGCCCUGAAAAUGGAUGGCGCUCAAGCGUCCCACCCAUACCUCGCCCUCGGCGCGGGCUCGGCGCGUCGAGGAGUAGGCGGACGUGGAGGUCGGUGACGAAGCCUAGGACGUGAGUCCGGGUGGAACGGCCUCUAGUGCAGAUCUUGGUGGUAGUAGCAAAUACUUCAAUGAGAACUUGAAGGACCGAAGUGGGGAAAGGUUCCAUGUGAACAGCGGUUGGACGUGGGUCAGUCGAUCCUAAGCUAUAGGGAAGUUCCGUUUCAAAGGGGCGCUUUUGCCCCGUAUAGCGAAAGGGAAGCUGGUUAAUAUUCCAGCACCUGGAUGUGGGUUUUGCGCGGCAACGCAACCGAACGCGGAGACGACGGCGGGGGCCCCGGGAAGAGUUCUCUUUUCUUCUUAACGAUCUAUCACCCUGGAAUCGGUUUGUCCGGAGAUAGGGUUCAACGGUCGGAAGAGCCCAGCGCUUCUGCUGGGUCCGGUGCGUCCUCGACGUCCCUUGAAAAUCCGCGGGAGGGAAUAAUUCUCACGCCAGGUCGUACUCAUAACCGCAGCAGGUCUCCAAGGUGAACAGCCUCUGGUUGAUAGAACAAUGUGGAUAAGGGAAGUCGGCAAAACAGAUCCGUAACUUCGGGAAAAGGAUUGGCUCUAAGGAUCGGGCGCGUUGGGCCUUGAAUAGACGGUUCGGCGGCGGGAGGUCACUAGCUGGGCAACCAGCCGGAGGCUCCCUGCUGCUGGGCUCGACGCUCUUGGCAGGCUUCGGCCGUCCGGCGCGCGUUUAACGAUCAACUUAGAACUGGCGCGGACAGGGGGAAUCUGACUGUCUAAUUAAAACAUAGCAUUGCGAUGGCCAGAAAGUGGUGUUGACGCAAUGUGAUUUCUGCCCAGUGCUCUGAAU